UCUGGGGCUGGCGGGUGGCUGGUGUGUUCCAGGAUCGGGGAGCAUGCCGGAGUGGAUGGAGGGGGGAGGUCAGGGAGUGAAGAUGGGGCGGCCACGCUGGUCGUGUGGACCCCUGCCAGGACCUUAUCUUUUACUCUGGGUAACCUGGAGCCACAGGAGGGUGUGAAGCGGAGGAGAAACACGGCCUGGCUUCCUCCGGGUAGAGAGAAAUGGCAGGAUGGGCGACAUGGUUUGAAAGACACUGCAGUAAUACAAGCGAGCAUGUGGUGACUCACCCCAGGGUGGGGCUAUGGGAGUGGGGGUGGGGUGGGGGAGUGAAGUGAUAGGAUCCGGAUGCCUGCUUCAGUCCACGGGUGAGAAAGAGAGGAGUCAGUGAGGACGGGAAGGCUUUUGGCCUGCGGCCCUGGGAAAACAGAGGUGGUGUGUUCCACAAUGGAGCUGCCGGAGGGGAGGGGCAGGCAGGGAGGAUAAGAAGUUCCGUUUCUUACCUGGAACUCUGAGUUGCCCAUUUGGCGUGUCGAGCCACAGCUGGAUAUUCAACCCUGCAUUCAGGCCGGACAGCAAGUAAAGGUUCAGCUGAAAAGGAGUUUUGCCUACUUUGAAGCAAAAUGUUUGAAAAGCUUUGAUCUUGAAUCAUCUCAUUCUACUGAUAAGAAGACAGAGACCCAGAAAGGAGGGGGGGAAAAACAUGGUCCCAGACUCAGGCAGACCUGACUGUGCUGAGUGCCUUACGUGGCCUACUGUGUGCUGACGCUGCUGGGAGCGGAGACACCGGCAGGACGGCCCCCGCCUCCUGGAACUUCCCGCACAGCGGGGAAGGCAGAUACGGAUCAGAGAUCCCCGCACAGACAUCAUCACAGACUCGGAUCAGCCUGAGAAGAGAAGAUAGCAGUGCCUGAAGAAUGUGCACCUACACGGAGAGGCAGGAGAAGGCGGCGAGGAUGUACUCCAGCAUGUUAAAGGGGUAGUAGCAUUCCAGGUGAUUCUGCCCGUUUCCUUUUCUUUUGCUUGUCUGGCGGCUCUAAUUUUUUUUUUUUUUUUUUUUUUUAGAAUGUCAUGCUUUAUAAUUGAGAGAAUUAAAAACACAAACAACCCCACAGUGAAUAGAGGGGUUGGAAAUCAUGUGUCCAAAGAUGACUUAACGCCAGGAAAGAAAGGAAGGACACGUAAGAAACUGCUCCCUGUGCUGGCUUCCGGGCAGGGGAGCCAGGGGCCGUGGAGGGAAAGAGCUGCGCUUCUCACCGGACGCCCUUCGAACCUGUCCCACGUGUGUGCGUUCAAAAAACAAUAA